AGUGAACGCUGGCGGUAGGCCUAACACAUGCAAGUCGAACGGCAGCACAGUAAGAGCUUGCUCUUACGGGUGGCGAGUGGCAGACGGGUGAGGAAUACAUCGGAAUCUACUUUUUCGUGGGGGAUAACGUAGGGAAACUUACGCUAAUACUGCAUACGACCUACGGGUGAAAGCAGGGGAUCUUCGGACCUUGCGCGAUUGAAUGAGCCGAUGUCGGAUUAGCUAGUUGGCGGGGUAAAGGCCCACCAAGGCGACGAUCCGUAGCUGGUCUGAGAGGAUGAUCAGCCACACUGGAACUGAGACACGGUCCAGACUCCUACGGGAGGCAGCAGUGGGGAAUAUUGGACAAUGGGCGCAAGCCUGAUCCAGCCAUACCGCGUGGGUGAAGAAGGCCUUCGGGUUGUAAAGCCCUUUUGUUGGGAAAGAAAAGCAGCAGGUUAAUACCCCGCUGUUCUGACGGUACCCAAAGAAUAAGCACCGGCUAACUUCGUG
rnacentral:rRNA from 1 species